rnacentral:rRNA from 1 species
GACGAACGCUGGCGGCGUGCUUAACACAUGCAAGUCGAACGGAAAGGCCCUGCUUUUGUGGGUUGCUCGAGUGGCGAACGGGUGAGUAACACGUGAGUAACCUGCCCUUGACUUUGGGAUAACUUCAGGAAACUGGGGCUAAUACCGGAUAUGAGCUCCUGCUGCACGGUGGGGGUUGGAAAGUUUCGGCGGUUGGGGAUGGACUCGCGGCUUAUCCGCUUGUUGGUGGGGUAGUGGCUUACCAAGGCUUUGACGGGUAGCCGGCCUGAGAGGGUGCCCGGCCACAUUGGGACUGAGAUACGGCCCAGACUCCUACGGGAGGCAGCAGUGGGGAAUAUUGCACAAUGGGCGGAAGCCUGAUGCAGCAACGCCGCGUGCGGGAUGACGGCCUUUGGGUUGUAAACCGCUUUCGCCUGUGACGAAGCGUGAGUGACGGUAAUGGGUAAAGAAGCACCGGCUAACUACGUG